rnacentral:rRNA from 1 species
AACGAACGCUGGCGGCAUGCCUAACACAUGCAAGUCGAACGAUCCCUUCGGGGAUAGUGGCGCACGGGUGCGUAACGCGUGGGAAUCUGCCCUUGGGUUCGGAAUAACAGUGAGAAAUUACUGCUAAUACCGGAUGAUGUCUUCGGACCAAAGAUUUAUCGCCCAAGGAUGAGCCCGCGUAGGAUUAGGUAGUUGGUGGGGUAACGGCCUACCAAGCCGACGAUCAGUAGCCGACCUGAGAGGGUGACCGGCCACAUUGGGACUGAGACACGGCCCAA